rnacentral:snRNA from 1 species
UUUUCUGCUAAACAACGCAA